rnacentral:rRNA from 1 species
GAUGAACGCUGGCGGCGUGCCUAACACAUGCAAGUCGAACGGAGAUUACGGACGGAAGUUUUCGGAUGGAAGACUUUAAUUCUUAGUGGCGGACGGGUGAGUAACGCGUGGGCAACCUGCCCUAUACAGGGGGAUAGCAGCUGGAAACGGCUGGUAAGACCGCAUAAGUCGGCGAGACCGCAUGGUUUUGCCGGGAAAUGAGCAAUCAGGUAUAGGAUGGGCCCGCGUCCGAUUAGCCAGUUGGCAGGGUAAAAGCCUACCAAAGCAACGAUCGGUAGCCGGACUGAGAGGUCGGACGGCCACAUUGGGACUGAGACACGGCCCAAACUCCUACGGGAGGCAGCAGUGGGGGAUAUUGCACAAUGGAGGAAACUCUGAUGCAGCGACGCCGCGUGAGUGAAGAAGUAUUUCGGUAUGUAAAGCUCUAUCAGCAGGGAAGAUGAUGGCGGUACCUGACUAAGAAGCCCCGGCUAACUACGU